rnacentral:rRNA from 1 species
AGUGAACGCUGGCGGUAGGCCUAACACAUGCAAGUCGAACGGCAGCACAGUAAGAGCUUGCUCUUACGGGUGGCGAGUGGCGGACGGGUGAGGAAUACAUCGGAAUCUACUUUUUCGUGGGGGAUAACGUAGGGAAACUUACGCUAAUACCGCAUACGACCUACGGGUGAAAGCAGGGGAUCUUCGGACCUUGCGCGAUUGAAUGAGCCGAUGUCGGAUUAGCUAGUUGGCGGGGUAAAGGCCCACCAAGGCGACGAUCCGUAGCCGGUCUGAGAGGAUGAUCAGCCACACUGGAACUGAGACACGGUCCAGACUCCUACGGGAGGCAGCAGUGGGGAAUAUUGGACAAUGGGCGCAAGCCUGAUCCAGCCAUACCGCGUGGGUGAAGAAGGCCUUCGGGUUGUAAAGCCCCUUUGUUGGGAAAGAAAAGCAGCAGGUUAAUACCCCGCUGUUCUGACGGUACCCAAAGAAUAAGCACCGGCUAACUUCGUG